rnacentral:sRNA from 2 species
UUGACAAUCUAAUUGUGAAGGCAUACUUUCAGGAGUGAGGGUAGAGCGGGGUUUCCCCCGCCCUGGUAGUCUUAGUAAGCCGGGAAGCUUAUGACUAAGAGCACCACGAUGAUGAUCCACUUCAUCAUGACCCUUUCCUUAUU